ACAAAAAUUAUAUUUUAAUUAAUAUUGUAACGUCGAGAAAAAGUUUGUUAGUGUUUUGUUUACUUUUGACGUGCCGUGAAUUAUUUUCAUGUUUAUAUUCGUACCUAUAUAUUGUAUUGUUUUAAUGAAUUGGCUUUCUCUCAGAAAAUUCGUAUGAUUGCAUUGUCACGUUUUUAAUUUGGUGGAGCUAAAAAUUUUCCUGAGUUUUGAUCUGUCAAUCGUGGAAAGUACCGAGACCACUCAAUCAGAAAAUUAUUGACAAUACUGAUUGGCACGAAUAUUUUUUUUUUUUGCUAAUAAUUGACCAAUACAAAAAUAGAAACGAUAUCAACAAAUGGAAUUUUUUUUUCUCUGAAUGGAAAAAGGAAAAUAAUUUUUAAAAAAACCCAAAAAAACUAAUUAAAUUCUUUUACUUUCAAAUGGAAUAUAAUUACUUUCUCAAUAUUAAAAAAAUGAUUGGAUUACAAGCAGAUAAAAGCAAACAAAAUUACCGCAAAAUUAUUAUAAAAAACUAAAAAUAAUU